AUUUUAGCAAAGCAAUAGUAAAAGAUUUAAAAAUAAGAGUUUGAUCUUUACCUUUGAAAAUAAAAUUCCAUUCAGUAUUACAAGUGUUUAGGUCCUUAGGAAUCAAUGUAGACAACUUAAAAUUAUAUGGGAUAAAAAUCAAGUUUUGUUGGCCAACAAGGCCUUAGCUUUGAUAUUUAACUUUGAUAAUUAGGUUCCGUUCAGUAUUAUGAGUGCUUAGCUCCUCACAGAUGGAUGCAGAUAAAUUUAGAAAUCAAGCAUAUGGGAGAACAAUCAAGACAAAGUAUUUUAUAUUUGGUCAACAAGGCCUGAUAUUCCUGUUCCAAGUAUUGUGUUACCCAAAAAGUGGUUUGUCGACUUAGCCAGUCUAGAACCCAUUGAGUCAAUCGGCUUGACUUGAACUGGACCUGUUUACCUAAUGGGUUCACAAGUCAGAUCCAAGUCAAGAAAUUUUAACUCAUUUAAAGGUUGGGUUGGGUUCAAGUCAAGCAGAUAAUUUCUUUAUGGUAAAUCUCAACCAAUAGUAUGGUUUGGACUUUGCACCCAUGUAGCCAACACAAAUAGUUGGCUCACUAUGGCUUGUUAUUGUUUUGCCUAGCUCAACCAAAGUUACAAAUUUUGCAGGUAGCAAGCAGAAGCAGCAAUUCUCUGAUGAAUAGUGCUAAAAUGGGUAUAAGUCCAAAAUACAAAAUCAUGAUUUUGUACUAUCAAAACAAAUUUAAUUAUCUAGUACAAGAAAUAAGAGUAAAAGUUAUAUUUUAUCAUCAUACAUAUUAGUUAUAAGAAAUUUAAUUAUCUAGUAUAAGAAAUUGUCUUGUCAAGAUCAAACUAGGAUGAUUAUCAUCAUACAUAUUAGUUAUAUUUUCUUAAACAUGUUCAGGCUUGAAUUUUAACAAAGCAAUAGUAAAAGAUUUAAAAAUAAGAGUUUGAACUUUACCUUUGAUAAUAAAAUUCCAUUCGGUAUUAUAAGUGUUUAGGUCCUUAGGAAUCAAUGUAGACAACUUAAAAUUAUAUGGGAUAAAAAUAAAGUUUUGUUGGCCAACAAGGCCUUAGCUUUGAUUUUUAACUUUGAUAAUUAGGUUCCAUUUAGUAUUAUGAGUCCUUGGCUCCGCACAGAUGGAUGCAGAUAAAUUUAGAAAUCAAGCAUAUGGGAGAACAAUCAAGACAAAGUAUUUUAUAUUUGGUCAACAAGGCCUGAUAUUCCUGUUCCAAGUAUCGUGUUAUCCCAAAAAGUGGUUUGUCGACUUAGCCAGUCUAGAACCCACUGAGUCAAUCGGCCUGACUUGAACUGGACCUGUUUACCUAAUGGGUUCACAAGUCAGUUCCAAGUCAAGAAAUUUUAACUCAUUUAAAGGUUGGGUUGGGUUCAGGUCAAGCAUAUAAUUUCUUUAUGGUAAAUCUCAACCAAUAGUAUGGUUUGGACUUUGUACCCAUGUAGCCAACACAAAUAAUUCACCCACUAUGGCUUGUUAUUGUUUUGCCUAGCUCAACCAAAGUUAUAAAUUUUGUCGGUAGAAAGCAGAAGCAGCAUUUCUCUGGUGAAUAGUGCUAAAAUGGUUAUAAGUCCAAAAUACAAAAUCAUGAUUUUGUACUAUCAAAACAAAUUUAAUUAUCUAGUAUAAGAAAUAUCCAGACCGUAUUUUUAAAACUUGUAAUAAUCUUAUGUGGAAGGUGUAUAACAGUCUGGGCAUGGAUUAGUGCUAGUGGUGUAUUACAGUUUAAGCAGGCAGCAGACAUCAAACCAGCACAAACAAGUAACCUUUUCUCAAGCUGUCAAGGGUCAGAACCAAGUUCAAAGUUUGAGAGAUGUCCAUUCAACCUUUAAACCAGACUGUGGUCUAUAUUUAAGUUAGGGUUUACAGGUCAAGAAUCAUUUAAUUUUUCUUCUGCUCCUCAAGCAAUGUCACGAUCUAGAAGAAAGGAGGCGAUUAGAGAAGAAAAACAGAGGAGGAAUAAAAGGAGAUGAAUGUUACUGAAAGGGCAGAGUCCCCAUUCAAGUAUGUCCCUCUUUCUCUCUUUAAUAGCUUGUAGACUGUUAUAAUGUAGUCCAACCCAAACCCUCUCCUAUGAGCCUGAAACAUAGCAAAAGGUUGAUUGGCCCUGGAUUAGCAAAGGUGUUUUCAGACCUAGUGUAGCAUUGGGAUCACUAUAAGAGAUGAAUAUAGGCAAUCAGCACGAUUCAAGGACAGAUUGGUUCAAUCCAUCAUUGCAGCAAAAUUCAGAAGGCUCUGAACAAGGUUUAAAUACCGGUUCAUACUGGUCUGGUAAGUUACCAAAACCAGUUUUGGACAGGCAUUUAAAUCCAUGAAAGAGCCUGUCAAACAUAGUAUAAGCCUUGGACAACAUUUUCUCAGACAAAAGAGUACUAACCACUGUAUCAUUUCGGGAAGGACAAGGGGCCUAUCCAACUUUACAAAGGAAUGGGCAUGGAAAUGAUAUUCACAUGCAACUCAUAGUCAAAUUAGGAAAUGAAACAAAAUUAAAGGAAAGGAAAGGCUUGACCAAGUUUUCUCACCAACUACUAUUAGUAACAGGAUUGGUUUCUAUUUUUCUAUUAUUGUUGGACUGAUAUUCAUCAACAAUAUUAAUAUCUAUUAGAAAGAUUUUAGACUUUUAAGUUGCUGGUGUAUAAGAGUCCCAAUAUAUGUCUAGUUUAGAUAUGGCAAAUUACUUUGCUACUAGUUAUCAUACUUUGAGAGUUCUAGACACAUGUUCGGGCAAAUUGAUAACAUAAGCUUUUUUACUUACAAACUUGUACAUGUAAAAACUUUGAGCCUGAAAGAUUCAUGGAUGUUAUUUUCUUUUCUCUACAAGAUCAAAUUAUCUUAGUAGUUUAGCUCCCAGUUGAUAGCUUUGGAGGCAUUUUCUCCUCAAAUUAAAAAAAAAGAUCCUAGUUAGAAGGAUCAAUUCUAACAUAUAUUAGUACCAUAUUAGUCCAACUAAAAUCCAACACAGGUAGUGGUAUCAGUUUCAAACCUUGAUCCGAACACCAAAUAUUCAUACUUCAUAAGUGGAUGUCACAAAUUUCAAAAUAAAA
rnacentral:lncRNA from 1 species